rnacentral:rRNA from 1 species
AGCAGCCGCGGUAAUUCCAGCUCCAAUAGCGUAUAUUAAAGUUGUUGCAGUUAAAAAGCUCGUAGUUGAAUUUCGGGAUCAAUUUGCUGGUCGUGCCUUCGGUACGCACUGGUAUUAUUGGUUUCUCCUUUCUGAUGAAUCGCGAUGUCAUUAAUUUGGUGUCGUGGGGAAUCAGGACUGUUACUUUGAAAAAAUUAGAGUGUUUAAAGCAGGCUCACGCUUGAAUACAUUAGCAUGGAAUAAUGAAAUAGGACGUUUGAUUCUAUUUUGUUGGUUUCUAGGAUCGACGUAAUGAUUAAUAGGGAUAGUUGGGGGCAUUAGUAUUCAAUUGUCAGAGGUGAAAUUCUUGGAUUUAUUGAAGACUAACUACUGCGAAAGCAUUUGCCAAGGAUGUUUUCAUUAAUCAAGAGCGAAAGUUAGGGGAUCGAAGACGAUCAGAUACCGUCGUAGUCUUAACCAUAAACUAUGC